UUCUGUUUUCAAUAUCACUCGUUUCCCCUGUUUAAGCCCCCAAAACUGUAGGGGUUUGCCAACACGAGCUGAUAAUGGUGAAGAUCAUAGCGUGCUUACAGCUUCAAAAUCGGAGUUCUAAGGCUUGGACUCCAUUUCCGCUAAGCAAAAGACGUUUUGGUUACCGUAAACUUCCUAAACAGUUACUCAAUCUCUCCGUCCUCAAAUUGGAUGGCUCUUCAUUCGUUAUCCAUGUAGGGAGGAAUGCUACAGUAGCAGACCUUAAACAAGCAGUUCAGGAAGCUUUUAAUUUCUCGCGGGAGGAUGAAGGCAAGAUUCUAUGGUCACUAGUAUGGAGCCACUUCUGUUUGUGCUACGGAAGUCAAAAACUUGUGAAUGACAAAGCUUUUAUUAACUGUUUUGGCAUGAAAGAUGGUGAUCAGCUUCAAUUUGCACAGCAUGUCACGUUGGAGUACAGGCCAGCUAAACAAAGACUGGAUAGCCAAUAUGAACAGUCCAAACAAUGCUCUAUUUCAAAUGCUCAUGAAGUGAACGUUGAAGCUAAUGCCAACAUUGACCACCAAGAGAAGGGCAAAAAGAUUAGUGAGUUUCAAUACGAGGAUGCAAUUCCUAAACCAAAGCUGUCUCAUUUUUUAAGAAGAUGGUUAUCUCAAUCAAAAUCUUGGAUAUCAACAAGAAAGCCUUAGCCUUUGCUACUGGGUGCGUCUGUAUAACUUUGAAUCAUCACUAACUAGGGUUGACAAACUGGUCAGAUGAUAGCAGCUAUUGUUCAUGGAAAUAUAGAUUAUAGUUCCAUACUUCAUUUUUCUGUUUCUUUUGCCUUCUAGGCUAAGUGAUAGGGGUGGAAAACUAAAUGAGAUUUGUUAAUUGCCAUUCAUGAUGGAAGUUUCACAAAUACAAUAACUCGGAAUAAC